UCGAGCGCCCGUAGCAAUACGGGAGCGGCAGACGGAAGAGUAACACGUGGGAACGUACCCUUCGGUUCGGAAUAACCCAGGGAAACUUGGGCUAAUACCGGAUACGUCCGUAAGGAGAAAGAUUUAUCGCCGAAGGAUCGGCCCGCGCCCGAUUAGCUAGUUGGUGAGGUAAUGGCUCACCAAGGCGACGAUCGGUAGCUGGUCUGAGAGGAUGAUCAGCCUCACUGGGACUGAGACACGGCCCAGACUCCUACGGGAGGCAGCAGUGGGGAAUAUUGGACAAUGGGCGCAAGCCUGAUCCAGCCAUGCCGCGUGGGUGAUGAAGGCCUUAGGGUUGUAAAGCCCUUUCGGCGGGGAAGAUAAUGACGGUACCCGCAGAAGAAGCCCCGGCUAACUUCGUGCCAGCAGCCGCGGUAAUACGAAGGGGGCUAGCGUUGCUCGGAAUCACUGGGCGUAAAGCGCACGUAGGCGGGUUCUUAAGUCAGAGGUGAAAUCCUGNAGCUCAACUCCAGAACUGGCUUUGAUACUGAG
rnacentral:rRNA from 1 species